UUUGUACUCCCUCCGUCCCAAAAUUAUUGUCUUAAAUUUGUCUAAAUACGGAUGUAUCUAGUUACAUUUUAGUGUUAGAUACAUCCGUAUCUAAACAAAUGUAAGACAAGAAUUUUGGGACGGAGGGAAUACUAC
rnacentral:pre_miRNA from 1 species